CGUUUCUGGCUGAAGGUGCUUCCUGCUCUGGUUCCCUGCUGUCAUGUCUCCCUACCACUGUGGACUCUCUUUCUUUGAAACUACAAAAGUUUCAUAGAACUCAGCAAAUUCUGGGGCAUUGUCGUUGACGUCGAGAACUUUAAUAUAUAGAGGCACGCGGCUGCUUUGCUUUGGAUUAUCUGAUGCACACCAAAAAGAAAGAAACAGGCAUUUUUGUGUCAGUCACCGUUUCUCCUUGGACGACAGCAGCCACCUACUCUCAUUCUCAUCCUUGUGCGCUAAUCCCCAGGUCUGCUGGAGGACGGACUUCAGGUCUGAGGGGCAGAAGUUAGGAGUUCACGCUUUCUCUUUCUCCACUUAACCCACAUCUAUUUGAACGUUCAUUUAAUAAAACCUUCCUGAAACAUCUGACA